GUAGCGAAAUUCCUUGUCGGGUAAGUUCCGACCCGCACGAAAGGCGCAACGAUCUGGGCACUGUCUCAACGAGAGACUCGGUGAAAUUAUAGUACCUGUGAAGAUGCAGGUUACCCGCGACAGGACGGAAAGACCCCGUGGAGCUUUACUGCAACCUGAUAUGGAAUGUUUGUACCGCUUGUACAGGAUAGGUAGGAGCCGAAGAGACGUGUGCGCUAGCAUACGAGGAGGCAAUGGUGGGAUACUACCCUGGCUGUAUGACCAUUCUAACCCGCCACGCUUAGCGCGUGGGGAGACAGUGUCAGGUGGGCAGUUUGACUGGGGCGGUCGCCUCCUAAAGAGUAACGGAGGCGCCCAAAGGUUCCCUCAGAAUGGAUGGAAAUCAUUCGCAGAGUGUAAAGGCACAAGGGAGCUUGACUGCGAGACUGACAAGUCGAGCAGGGACGAAAGUCGGGCUUAGUGAUCCGGUGGUUCCGCAUGGAAGGGCCAUCGCUCAACGGAUAAAAGCUACCCCGGGGAUAACAGGCUUAUCUCCCCCAAGAGUCCACAUCGACGGGGAGGUUUGGCACCUCGAUGUCGGCUCGUCGCAUCCUGGGGCUGUAGUCGGUCCCAAGGGUUGGGCUGUUCGCCCAUUAAAGCGGCACGCGAGCUGGGUUCAGAACGUCGUGAGACAGUUCGGUCCCUAUCCGUCGCGGGCGCAGGAAAUUUGAGAGGAGCUGUCCUUAGUACGAGAGGACCGGGAUGGACACACCGCUGGUGUACCAGUUGUUCCGCCAGGAGCAUCGCUGGGUAGCUAUGUGUGGCAGGGAUAAACGCUGAAAGCAUCUAAGCGUGAAGCCCCCCUCAAGAUGAGAUUUCCCAUUUCUUCGGAAAGUAAGAUCCCUGAAAGAUGAUCAGGUAGAUAGGUUUGGAGUGGAAGUGUAGCGAUACAUGGAGCGGACAAAUACUAAUCGAUCGAGGACUUAACCAAAAA
rnacentral:rRNA from 1 species